AUUUUAAAGAGACUUGGGAUAUUUUAAGGAGAUUGGGCUUUUAAAUUCUAUGUAUUUAUGUAUGUGCUUAUUUAUUUUAUGUGUAUUAGUAUUUUGCCUGCAUAUAUAUGUGUCCUACAUGCAUGAGUUACAUACAGUUGUGAACCACUAUGUGGCUGUUGCCAAUUGAACCUGGGUCCUCUGAAGAGCAGUCUGCUCAUAGCCACCAACUAAGCCCUAUGACUGAACUUUUAAGGUCAGAAGUUGGGAUAUUUUAUAUAUUGUAACAUGGUAUUAAUAUGGGAUCUUGGGGAUAUACAAGAAACAAAAAGUUAUUAUUUAAUAGUGUUGUACUGUCAACUUGACAAGAAGGCAACUGUCCUACUUAGAUUUUGUUUGUUUUUGUUUUUCAUUGUUUUGUUUUGUUUUGUUUUGUUUUGCCAACUUGACACGAGACAGGGUCAUCUGGAAGGAGGGGCCUCAACUGAGAAAAAUGCUUCCAUCAAACUGGCCUGUAGGCAAGUCUGUAGAGCUUUUCUUGAUUAUUGACUGGCGUGGAGGGACCCAGCCCACUGUGGAUGGUGCCACACCUGGGCUGUAUAAGAAAGCAGGCUGAAUAAGCCACGGGGAUUAAGUCAGUAAGCAGCGCCCCUCCGUGGUCUCUCCUUCAGUUCCUGCCGUGAGUGCCUGGCUGGACUUCCCUUCAUGUUGGACUACAGCUGUAAGCCCUCAGCAGUGCGGCUGGAAAAGGCAUUGACCUUUCACUCAUACCCCCAGCCAGACAGCUGCUGUCUCGGUGCCCUGAGAUCAUCCUGUCCAUCUGUCCAGCCCAUGUAGAUGGUGGAUCGAUGAUGGAGGCGAGCUCACUUCACAGGACCCUUGAGCACUCCCUGGACACUGACUGGAGUGAAGGAAUGACGCUAGCUUUGCUUUUCCUCUCACCACCACUGCCCUUGAGAAGUGCCUAGCCCUACUGGAGGACAAGCAACGUCACAAGAGCCUCCAGGAAACGCCAUUCUAAAGAUGACAGGGUCUGAGGGCCAGGAGCAGCCCCUCGCAAGGGAGUGGGUGUGGGAACAAAGGGUUUGCUCAGGAGGGUCACACUCCUAGAGGAGGCACAAUGUGACAUGGUAAACAGGAUAAUGGCUCUGCUCUCUAGAGGCCAAGCCUGGGCGUGGGGCAGCUGUGACAGCUACAAAAUGACUAUGACCUCUCUCCCUCUGUCCCAGCUCAUCCAGUGUCAGCUGUCCCAGGUUCUACGGCGGCCACUGUGAGUCUGGAGGUUGGAGCAGGAGUAGGGGCCUCACCUACAGGCAGCCUGAAUUCUCUGUAGCCUGCACUCACUUGAGUUUGUUUGUUUGUUUGUGUUUCCUCUUUGCUCUGCCUGGAGCCUACCCUUUAGGUAGAGCAGCCAUGGGGAAACUCACAGGCAAACAUGGUGACAAACGGUCACUGUUCUGUGGCCUAGGGGGGACAAAGGCAAGAUUAAGCUGAUGCCUACUGAAAGAAUUUUAUACACAUUAACAUUUGAGUUGGGCUUUGCAGGGUGAAUAGGAGUUCCCCAGAUGGAGACUAGAAGGAAGAGGGACAUGGAAACUUAGAUUGGGCAAGGACCCAAAGACAUAAAAAUCCAGGGACCAUGAUUCCCAAGAAUCUGGUUUUCAAAGGAUGAUAGGAAUGGAAUGUUGGUUCAGGCUGCAGGAGCCAACGAUUUUGAUUUCAUUCUGUAAACAGGUGAGAGAUAUUACAGAAUUUUAAGCAAGGGACCCACAUAGUCAGGUUUACAUUUGGGAAGACAACAUACUUGCUGGGUCAUAAAAGAUGAGAGAGCAAGAAACUACAGCAAAAAUAAAGGAUGUUUUAUAACAACUCCUGAAAACAAAACAGAGAGGAAAGCCAACCCUGGCCUCCAGAGGCUCAUUGCCCAUGCAUAGCUAUUCCCAGACUCUGCCCAAGCACCACUAGACAGAGACCAAGACUGCUGCCUAUCAGACCUGAGCUGGCUCUGGGGCCCCAAAAGGUGAAUCAGGCUUAGCACCAACUGUGGAGAUAGGUAGACCAGAUAGAUAGGACAGCAGUGAUCGGUAGUAGUAUGGAUUUUGGGCAGCACUCACUAGAGUGCUGCUGGAACACAUGAGGGCUCUGGGGAGUUGUUGAUACCCUGGUGGAGACGGAUGUCCUGGAAGGGGUACCACUUGGGAUGAAGGACCUUCUAGACAGAAGGAACACUGAGCAAAGGCAUUGCAGGGGAAGUGUUCUGGAAUGCUCUGUGACACAGCCAACGUUUGUAGUCUAGAGGGGGGCCACAGGAGGAGUUCAGGCUGCAUUCCGUGGUCUAAGACUCACAGCCAAGGAGGCAGAUCACAACUAUGCAUUCUGAAGGCCUCUGAAGCGGAGGUCUAGGGUGAGUGGAGCCAGCCUUCCUAGCACAUCCAGAUUCCACCCCCAGCACCUCACAAGCAAACCUCACAGAUGUGCCUGAGUGGGCGCGUGCAGGGUGGGCUUCUGGAACCUUGCACCCAUCCUUGGAGCUCCAAACUAUUGCCACAGGGACAAAGAGCCACAAGAAGAUGGCCUGGCCAGGCUCACCACUUGGAACUGAACAGACGGCGGAGGACACGUGGGGACUCAUCAGGACACCACAGCAAGGACAAUGUCUGGAGGAAUUGGUGCCCUCCAGAGAGAAAAAAGCAGCCUUAAAAAGUCACAGAAGACAGACCCUGAUAGAAUUUGGGGUCUAAGAAUGCUGGGACAGGAAUGAUGAUGGGCAGAGAGGCACUCCUGUCAAUAGGAGAAUCUAAAACCAGGUAGUGGCUCCUCGCAGCCUUAAGGGCAAGGAUUUCUUUUCAAUAUUGACAAAAAGUAUGUGGGGUUAAGAAGAUAGUUCAGUGAGUAAGAGCUUUGCUCUGCAAACAUGAGGGUCUGAGUUCAGAUCUCCAGUACUUGUGAAAGAGAUCGGGCUUGGCUAUGUGUGCCUGUGAUUCCAGCAUUGUCAGGUGGAGACUGAUGGAUCCCGAGAGCUUGCUGGCCAGCCAGCCUAGCCCAGUAGGUAAGUUUCCGGUUCAGUGAGAGACCUUGCUUCAAGGCAAUAAUGUGGAGAGCAAUAGAGAAAGACACGAGACACCUGCUCUGACCUCUGAACACAGCUGAGCGCGUCCAGACACUCACAUGCAUGUACUCCCACACACACAUGCAUGCACAUGUCCUGAUAGUUGAUAGUAAGACAGACUUACAAGAACAGAAAAUUCCCAGUGACCCAAGCCCUGGGGCUUCUGAAGAGGGUUUAGACCCCUCCCUGUAUGUACCACAGCGGCACAGGUACAUACAAGAUGCAGAGCAGAUGGGCAGGUCCUGACGAUGGAUCUGGUCUCACUGGUAUGUGACCUUGGACUUACGGACUAAAUGAGUAGUGUUGACCAAUGGGGUCUGACGCAGCUUUUGCCCCUGGAGACACGUGUAUGCAGAGGACUGGAAGAUACCUGCCAUGUAAGAACUCCUGGGAGGCCUCUCUAGGAUUGCUGCUCCUGGCAGGUGUGAGGACCCCCGGGUCAUGGGUGGUGGUCUUUGGCAGGGACACCUUGUUGUUGACCUCCUAGAUUGUAACAUGGGACAUAGCUGACAAAAACAUGUCCACAGACUGAUCAUUGUCCCAUCACUAACCUGCAUUGUGCCCUUGUGAGGCAGUGAUUCUUUGACCCCAAGGCAUAGAGCUAAGUACCUGUCCCUACUGUGACUUUUACUACAUUAAAGUUAGACCGGAGUUUCAGUAUGAUGCAACUGAACUAUCUGGGAACCUGGGAGGCCCUUACCUUGGCAUGCAGAUGUUGGGAGACCCCACUGCUCAGAGGUUGCAGUCUACCCUAGCUUAGCAGCUCUCCCCGGGCUUGGCACAAUAUAAAAGAACUCCCACCCCCAAGUGGGGACUUCCUGCUCUCUACCUAUCCUUAUCUGGAAGAUAUCUCUACCCAGGAUGUCUGACUUAUCUCAAGGAUGACUCUUGACACAGUUCCUUGCUAAUGCUCUUCCCUCGCUGCCUACAUGGUAAUUAAAUAGCAUGCUCUAGCUAUUUUCAUAGGGCCAUGCUGUCACUAGUCCAGCUAUGAUAGGAGUUUGCCACAUAAUGCAAAUUAGGGUUUGCCCCAGCUAACACCUGAAUCCUAUAUAUCCCCUAUACUUUGAAAUAAAGUUGGGCUGUCUCAUUGAA